UUGGCAGAACAAAAUUUUUCCUUGCUUGC
rnacentral:piRNA from 1 species